rnacentral:piRNA from 1 species
UCAUACUUGAAGGCGGCACAAUUCCACUC